GGGGCCCGCACAAGCGGUGGAGCAUGUGGUUUAAUUCGACGCAACGCGAAGAACCUUACCAGGGCUUGACAUCCCCUGACCGCGUAUGAAAGUACGUUUUCACCCUCGGGUGACAGGGAGACAGGUGGUGCAUGGUUGUCGUCAGCUCGUGUCGUGAGAUGUUGGGUUAAGUCCCGCAACGAGCGCAACCCCUACGUUUAGUUGCUAACGCGUGAAGGCGAGCACUCUAGACGAACUGCCGUUGACAAAACGGAGGAAGGUGGGGAUGACGUCAAAUCAUCAUGCCCCUUAUGUUCUGGGCUACACACGUGCUACAAUGGCCGGUACAGACGGACGCAAAGCCGCGAGGUGGAGCAAAUCCUAAAAAGCCGGUCUCAGUUCGGAUUGCAGGCUGCAAUUCGCCUGCAUGAAGUCGGAAUCGCUAGUAAUCGCGGGUCAGCAUACUGCGGUGAAUACGUUCCCGGGCCUC
rnacentral:rRNA from 1 species